AUCUGUGUGUGUGUGUGUGUGUGUAAUGCUAGCCCGGCAAUCUGUGUGUGUGUGUGUGUAAUGCUAGCCUGGCAAUCUGUGUGUGUGUGUGUGUGUGUGUGUAAUGCUAGCCUGGCAAUCCGUGUGCACCCACUGCUAGCCCGCAUUGUGUGAGGGUUUACAUGCAUGCUUUCACACUUUUAAACCAUCUUACUGUUUUCACUUAUAAACUUUCAUGUUUCUUUCUUUCCAGAAAAAGUCAGAAGAACAAAUGAAAAGUUCCAAUGUAACUGGAUUGUCUUGGGUGAAGCCUGGCUCUGUCUUACCGUUCAGCAAAGAGGAGAACGCUCUGCAGGCCUAGGGCAAUACAUGGACUUGGUACACUUUUAUCAUGGCGUUGACUGUAUUAAAGAAAAUGGCCCUCUCUCCUACAUCAGUCUGAGUUUAGAAUUUCCUCAUGGAUUGCCACCACUUCUGCAAAAUGUUUUAAUUCAAACCUUGUCUUACUCUCGUGCCCCUAAUUGAGUUUUCCAUUCUAAGAACCUGGGGCGCAGACUAUAUUUGUAUGGAGAGUGUGCCGUCAUGUAUCAGCUUGCGGAAUGUAAGGUGCUAUGCUACAGGAGCUGCAUGUGUGGUGUUCUCCAGCUUGCUGGUCCUACAGCCAUUUGUUUUGGUGUAGGACUGCUGAUGGACCCCAUGGGUUUGUUUGGGACACUGAAUCCAAGAUGGCGCCUUGCUGUACAGAGGAACGUUUGGGGGGGGGGUGUAUCUUUUGUUUAGAGAUGCUAAGCUUCAUGCACACUACAAAUAACAGUUGGUAGUAUUUAAUGGUUUUAAAAUGCUUUUAUUUUAUUUUUGUUUUUGUAAAUAGGCUAUAAAAUUGUAAAUAUAUUAACGCUCCGUUUAGCACUUAGUCUUAAUCACAAAUUCCAAUCUUCCCUGCAAAGUAUUGCUACCUUUCUGUGGCUAAACUGUCCAUUGAACUGUAGUGGGCAUUAGGCAGAGAAAUGAUCCAACGUUGCAAUAUUUCUUUAAAGAUCAGUUUUGGACUUGUUUUUAUUUGGUUGGAUUUAAUAAAAUGGUAAAACUGAGCUGAAUAGGAUCCCUUUACUGUCUGGACAUUUAUUCCAAGUUUUGCUAUAAAGGUUCUGCAUUGUAAUAUUACUAAUGCCCUAGCGAUCGUGUAUUUAGCUUAAUGGGGAAAAAAGCUACUAUAACCUCAGCAUACAAAGUUAUAUUGUAAGGAGGUCCCCUGUCUCCCCGCACACAGUGUAUUA